GUGGCAAUAUCCGUCAUCCUGUGCUCUGGACCCGUCACGAGAGGCAAUUAAUGCGAUCUUAUGUUCUUAUCUGCUACCUAGCAACCUUGACUCUUACCCAGAAUCGCCCCGGGCAACUGCUGCCGCUGCCUGUAAUCAAUCGAUCUACUGAGUGUGCGUGUGAGAUUGCAUCAAGGCAUUCCAGAAGUGUUUUACAUCAAGUCUCCGAAAUGACAACAAAAUAAGAACCUCUGUGCAAGCAAAUGAGCCAGCUGACAUAAACGCCAUUUUUACAUGCACCGCUGACUUGAGUGACUUGAUAACACAUUGCAGAAGGGAAACGGUCGACGCAAAUUCCACCAAUUGACAUGAAAUGUGGCGACUGCAUCUGUGCCGGAGAACGGGACGGUUGACCUUUGCAUGGAAAUGAGAAUGAAUGAGGACGAUGAAGAGGAACCGACGAAUCAACUCCACUUUCAUCUUUAGGCAGGACAGUAGUAGCGGUAGAAGAAGAAGAAAAAAAAAGAAGAAAAGGAAACAGUUGCAGUACCAGGAUGGAUCCUUAAUUAAAGUGAAUUACAGUCCGAACAAUGCAUGCAAAAUUUAAUCAAUGUAAGGCCACAUUUAACCAACAAUUUCAUAAAAACUAAAGUUGCACAAAAAUGUCAUCACA